GGCCUUACUCCUGAGCAGUAAUCCUGUUAAAGGAGGAACCAGUUAGAAGCUGUUUUCAAAGUAGCUGAGCAGAUUUCAUCUCAAUAGACAAAGCCGAUGGCAGAAGAUGUUUGGAGAAGAACUUCAGGCCGUGUACUGAAAAGAUCAAAGCAGCUCGUGCUCUGUCUGCUUCCAUU